GUCGAGAAUCUUUCACAAUGGGGGCAACCCUGAUGGAGCGACGCCGCGUGGAGGAUAAGGUCUUCGGAUUGUAAACUCCUGUCAUGCGUGAACAAGGUUGCUUGGUUAAUACCUGGGCAAAUUGAUGGUAACGCAAGAGGAAGAGACGGCUAACUCUGUGCCAGCAGCCGCGGUAAUACAGAGGUCUCAAGCGUUGUUCGGAAUCACUGGGCGGAAAGGGUGCGUAGGUGGCGUGGUAAGUCAGAUGUGAAAGCCCGGGGCUCAACCUCGGAACUGCAUCCGAUACUGCCAUGCUAGAGUACUGGGGAGGUGACUAGAAUUCUCGGUGUAGCAGUGAAAUGCGUAGAUAUCGAGAGGAAUACCAAAGGCGUAGGCAGGUCACUGGACAGUUACUGACACUGAGGCACGAAGGCCAGGGGAGCGAACGGGAUUAGAUACCCGUGUAGUCC
rnacentral:rRNA from 1 species